GUGUUAGUUCGCUAACACAUAUACUUAAAAUUGGAACGAUACAGAGAAGAUUAGCAUGGCCGCCUGCGCAAGGAUGACACGCAAAUUCGUUGAUGAAGCGUUCCUCAUUUGC
rnacentral:snRNA from 1 species